GAUGAACGCUGGCGGCGUGCCUAAUACAUGCAAGUCGAGCGAACAGACGAGGAGCUUGCUCCUCUGACGUUAGCGGCGGACGGGGGAGUAACACGUGGCUAACCUACCUAUAAGACUGGGAUAACUUCGGGAAACCGGAGCUAAUACCGGAUAAUAUAUUGAACCGCAUGGUUCAAUAGUGAAAGACGGUUGUGCUGUUACUUAUAGAUGGAUCCGCGCCGCCUUAGCUAGUUGGUAGGGUAACGGUGUACCAAGGCAACGAUGCGUAGCCGACCUGAGAGGGUGAUCGGCCACACUGGAACUGAGACACGGUCCAGACUCCUACGGGAGGCAGCAGUAGGGAAGCUGCCGCAAUGGGCGAAAGCCUGACGGAGCAACGCCGCGUGAGUGAUGAAGGUCUUCGGAUCGUAAAACUCUGUUAUUAGGGAAGAACAAAUGUGUACGUAACUAUGCACGUCUUGACGGUACCUAAUCAGAAAGCCACGGCUAACUACGUG
rnacentral:rRNA from 1 species